CAUUAGCUUGCUUUUGAAGAUCAGCGGCGGACGGGUGAGUAACACGUGGGCAACCUGCCUGUAAGACUGGGAUAACUUCGGGAAACCGGAGCUAAUACCGGAUAAUCCUUUUCCUCUCAUGAGGAAAAGCUGAAAGACGGUUUCGGCUGUCACUUACAGAUGGGCCCGCGGCGCAUUAGCUAGUUGGUGAGGUAACGGCUCACCAAGGCAACGAUGCGUAGCCGACCUGAGAGGGUGAUCGGCCACACUGGGACUGAGACACGGCCCAGACUCCUACGGGAGGCAGCAGUAGGGAAUCUUCCGCAAUGGACGAAAGUCUGACGGAGCAACGCCGCGUGAGCGAUGAAGGCCUUCGGGUCGUAAAGCUCUGUUGUCAGGGAAGAACAAGUAUCGGAGUAACUGCCGGUACCUUGACGGUACCUGACCAGAAAGCCACGGCUAACUACGUGCCAGCAGCCGCGGUAAUACGUAGGUGGCAAGCGUUGUCCGGAAUUAUUGGGCGUAAAGCGCGCGCAGGCGGUUCCUUAAGUCUGAUGUGAAAGCCCCCGGCUCAACCGGGGAGGGUCAUUGGAAACUGGGGAACUUGAGUGCAGAAGAGGAGAGCGGAAUUCCACGUGUAGCGGUGAAAUGCGUAGAGAUGUGGAGGAACACCAGUGGCGAAGGCGGCUCUCUGGUCUGUAACUGACGCUGAGGCGCGAAAGCGUGGGGAGCGAACAGGAUUAG
rnacentral:rRNA from 1 species